CAGCCGUGGCCUAGCUUGAUUGAAGACGAUUAUUAUGACGAGACGUUUUUACGAUGAUUUCUGUGAAAAUGAUUACCUGGUUGGCAUUCAUGCAAGCAAGCCCUACAACUUGUAGUACAACUGCCAUGUAUCAACACUCCAUACAAACCAGCUCAGGAUGAUGGGAACUAAGCUGAAUUACUUUACCAGAUUGCCUCUUACGGUAGCAGGGUAUUCAUGGAGCAUUAUCGAGAUGGCAUCAGGAAGAGAGUGUUCGGCAGGUGAAGCGCAUUUGUAGAAGCCUCAGACUUCGACGCCACUGCCCAGAAUCAUCUGAGUAGGACAUUGCCCGAGCUAUUUGUCCGAUGCCCUCUCGCCUUAUCCUUGCUGAUCACACUGUCCAACACUGCAAUGUCAUCAAGCUGCCAAUAUCAAAUUGUGUCCUUGUAAUGCCCUUAUUUAACUGUUUAGCAGCUCAAUAAAUAGUGUACAUUCAGAGCUUCUUACUAAAGGUAUUACAAAGUUUUGGUAAGGGGUCUUGAAUUUGGUUCAAAUAAACAUAUUGGAAGCAUAUACUAUCCUACAAUAAUCAGUGAUCGUU
rnacentral:lncRNA from 1 species